AAUCAUUAUGUUCCUGGGUCUUUGGCUGGCUCGAUCCUGCUGCUUCCUUUUUGGAUGGAGUGGAUAUCGAGGUUCCAUAAAGAUGCAGACCGGAGAAAGUGAACAGGAUGAACAACUGAGCUGACUGGAGCCGUAGAGAACUAACAGAACUCCCUGUCCUGCCCUUCCCCACCUAAACAGUGCCAGCUUUUGAAGACACCUACGUCUACAGUGAGCUCUACUAGUCUCUGCUGAAUCUGCCUCCUCAUGUUUGUUCUAUGGGAGAAUUUACAAUCAACUUUGAACAUUCCUUAAUGAUGAACCUGAAAGUAAACUUAGGAACUGUGAUAACAUAAGGGGCUCACUUCCCUAAUUAGACAGGGACAUUAUUUGUUCAUCCACCUCUGCUUCAACCAAUCAACCUUACAAAAAGACUUCUGGGCUGGCGAGAUGGCUCAGUGGGUAAGAGCACUGACUGCUCUUCCAAAGGUCCUGAGUUCAAAUCCCAGCAACCACAUGGUGGCUCACAACCACCCUGACCUUUUCUGGUGCAUCUGAAGCCAGCUACAGUGUACUUACAUAUAAUAAUAAAUAAGUAAAACAAAAAACAAAAAAAACCAAAAAACCUUCCUGUACCACGACCAUGACUGAAGCAGUGAGAAUAGAUGUAAAUACAUCGAAGGGGCCAGGUCAUUUCCUUUCCAUCCUUUGGCUUUGCAUUUGUGAGCUACCAAUUAGGACACAACAUUUUCAGCCUUCUCGUGUUCACAACCGGAAAUUGUUAGGAAAGCACACCAAUUGUUCUAGUUUUCACGAGUCAAAUGUAAAACAGAUUUUGUUAUGGAUGGGAGAAAGAAAACGUGAAUGAGAGGUAUGUGCUAGCUGCUUAGGUGGGGGAGCAGGGCUCAGAGUCACUGUACGUUAAGAGCACGUGCUGAAACUUCACGGAAUUUUGUGUAUUUGGGACUAAAGACAUGAACGGGUAUCCUUUCCUUUGCCUUCUUCGUAUUGUCAUUUUCAGAUUCUGUCAGAUGCUCAGUCCCAGUGAUCUGGGCAAGGAUCCGGAAAGAACGAGACUGAGUCGUUCAAGUCCGGGGGCGCCAGUCCUCAGUGUCCUCUGGCAUCGCUGUGAGCGGGUAUGCGAUAAAACUCCGUGUUGCGCUCCACAAUGUGUUUUCUUGGUGGGC